rnacentral:rRNA from 1 species
CACAGAGGUCUCAAGCGUUGUUCGGAUUCAUUGGGCGUAAAGGGUGCGUAGGUGGUUAGGUAAGUCGGAUGUGAAAUCCCGGGGCUCAACCUCGGAACUGCAUUCGAUACUGCUUGACUAGAGUACUGGAGAGGAGAUUGGAAUUUACGGUGUAGCAGUGAAAUGCGUAGAUAUCGUAAGGAAGACCAGCGGCGAAGGCGGAUCUCUGGACAGUUACUGACACUGAGGCACGAAGGCCAGGGGAGCAAACGGG